rnacentral:rRNA from 1 species
AUGGUUGGACGAAAUAUUAACUGUUUCAUUUAAAAUUAUAAUAGAAUUUUAUUUUUUAGUCAAAAAGCUAAAAUUUAUUUAAAAGACGAGAAGACCCUAUAAAUCUUUAUAUUUUAUUUAUUUUAAUUAUAAAGAUUAAUUUAAUUUUAAUAAAUUAAAAUAUUUUAUUGGGGUGAUAUUAAAAUUUAAAAAACUUUUAAUUUUAAAAAACAUUAAUUUAUGAAUAAUUGAUCCAUUAAUAAUGAUUAAAAAAUUAAGUUACUUUAGGGAUAACAGCGUAAUUUUUUUGGAGAGUUCUUAUCGAUAAAAAAGAUUGCGACCUCGAUGUUGGAUUAAGAUAUAAUUUUGGGUGUAGCUGUUCAAAUUUUAAGUCUGUUCGACUUUUAAAUUCUUACAUGAUCUGAGUUCAAACCGGUGUAAGCCAGGUUGGUUUCUAUCUUUAAAAAAUUAUAAUAUUUUAGUACGAAAGGACCAAAUAUUAAAAUAAUUAUAUUUUUAUAUAUGAAUAUUAUUAAUAU